CCCUUACACUGCGGUAGCUGUUGGCUGGCUGGACAGCAUUUGGAUCUCUAGGCUGGAAGCCUCCUCCUAGCUGGUUAUCCUAGGAUCUCCCUGCCAGUUCAAAAGUCCUGACUCCAUGCAAAAGGCAAUGCUCAGAUUCCAUUAUGUUGAUGCUAACUAUGGAAGUGGGCAGCUGAAAAGAAUUCAAGGACUGAAUAAAGCUGUGGACACCAUGUGACCAGCCACUUCCUGCUUCCUAGCUAUGGACACCAUGUGACCAGUCACUUUCUGCUUCCUGGCUGUGGACACCAUAUGACCAGCCACUUCCUGCUGCCUCUCCCAUUUCUUCUUUGUUUUGAUGCACUGUAUCUCCUGUCCUGGUUAACUCAAGUAACCCUUUCCUUAAGUUGCUCUUGUGGGAUUUUUGUUACGAAAAUAAAACACUCUUCUUUUGUGAAACAGAA